AUUGAACGCUGGCGGCAGGCCUAACACAUGCAAGUCGAACGAGUGGCGGACGGGUGAGUAAUGUCUGGGAAACUGCCCGAUGGAGGGGGAUAACUACUGGAAACGGUAGCUAAUACCGCAUUCCAUCAGCUGUGCCCAGAUGGGAUUAGCUUGUUGGUGGGGUAACGGCUCACUAAGGCGACGAUCCCUAGCUGGUCUGAGAGGCUGACCAGCCAAACUGGAACGGAGACAGGGUCCAGACUCCUACGGGAGGCAGAAGGGGGGAAUAGUGCACAAUGGGCGGAAGCCUGAUGCAGCCAUGCAGCGUGUAUGAAGAAGGCCUUCGGGUUGUAAAGUACUUUCAGCGUGGAGGCGUUACCCGCAGAAGAAGCACCGGAUAACUCCGGGCCAGCAGCCGCGGUAAUAC
rnacentral:rRNA from 1 species